UACGAAGGGGGCUAGCGUUGCUCGGAAUUACUGGGCGUAAAGCGCACGUAGGCGGCUUUCUAAGUCGGGGGUGAAAUCCUGGAGCUCAACUCCAGAACUGCCUUCGAUACUGGAGAGCUCGAGUCCGGGAGAGGUGAGUGGAACUGCGAGUGUAGAGGUGAAAUUCGUAGAUAUUCGGAAGAACACCAGUGGCGAAGGCGACUCACUGGACAUGUAUUGACGCUGAGGUGCGAAAGCGUGGGGAGCAAACAGG
rnacentral:rRNA from 1 species